rnacentral:rRNA from 1 species
GGUGGAGCUAAUCCCCUAAACCAUGCCCCAGUGCAGAUUGAGGGUUGCAACUCACCCUCAUGAAGUUGAAAUCCCUAGUAGUCGCUGUUCACCAUACAGCGGCGAAUAUGUCCCUGUUCCUUGCACACACCGCCCGUCAAACCAAUCGAGUGGACUUGAGGUGAAGCAUACUCUUUAGGGUGUGUUGAAUCUCGGGUUCGCGAGAGGGGUUAAGUCGUAACAAGGUAACCGUAGGGGAAUCUGCGGUUGGAUCACCUCCA